rnacentral:rRNA from 1 species
UACGUAGGGUGCAAGCGUUAAUCGGAAUUACUGGGCGUAAAGCGUGCGCAGGCGGUUUUGUAAGUCUGACGUGAAAGCCCCAGGCUUAACCUGGGAAUUGCGUUGGAGACUGCAAGGCUUGAAUCUGGCAGAGGGGGGUAGAAUUCCACGUGUAGCAGUGAAAUGCGUAGAGAUGUGGAGGAACACCGAUGGCGAAGGCAGCCCCCUGGGUCAAGAUUGACGCUCAUGCACGAAAGCGUGGGGAUCAAACAGG